rnacentral:rRNA from 1 species
GACGAACGCUGGCGGCGUGCUUAACACAUGCAAGUCGAGCGGUAAGGCUCCUUCGGGAGUACACGAGCGGCGAACGGGUGAGUAACACGUGAGCAAUCUGCCCUUCUCAUCGGAAUAACCAUUGGAAACGAUGGCUAAUGCCGAAUACGACUUCCUUUCGCAUGUCAGGAAGUGGAAAGCUCCGGCGGAGAAGGAUGAGCUCGCGGCCUAUCAGCUUGUUGGCGGGGUAACGGCCCACCAAGGCAACGACGGGUAGCCGGCCUGAGAGGGUGACCGGCCGCACUGGGACUGAGACACGGCCCAGACUCCUACGGGAGGCAGCAGGGGGGAAUAUUGGACAAUGGGCGAAAGCCUGAUCCAGCAACGCCGCGUGAGGGAUGACGGCCUUCGGGUUGUAAACCUCUUUCAGCAGGGACGAAGCGAAAGUGACGGUACCUGCAGAAGAAGGACCGGCCAACUACGUGCCAGCCGCCGCGGUAA